rnacentral:misc_RNA from 1 species
UACAGAGGGUGCGAGCGUUAUCCGGAUUUAUUGGGUUUAAAGGGUGCGUAGGCGGCAUUAUAAGUUAGUGGUAAAAUAUUGGGGCUUCACCUCACUACGCCAUUAAUACUGUAGAGCUAGAGAACAGACGAGGUAGGCGGAAUAAGUUAAGUAGCGGUGAAAUGCAUAGAUAUAACUUAGAACACCGAUAGCGAAGGCAGCUUACCAGACUGAGUCUGACGCUGAUGCACGAGAGCAUGGGUAGCGAACAGG